GAACACUCGAAGUUCGUCGCUGAGAGAUCUUCACCUUCUGUUGGAGUCAUGCUGAACAGUUGUGAAGAUCCAAAUACCACUGGAGACUCUGCCCACCAUUAAUGACCCCCUCGCUGACCUUCGUAAAACAAACACUCCACAGAAUCGGGAACUGAAGAGUUGGGGCUCAAGACUGCAAAAUGCCAAGUCCACAUUUUCAAGUUGGUCUCUUCCUUUCAGAUCAGAGGGGUACAAAGCCUUCCAUAUCGUACCCCGGCUCUCCUCAGAAGCAUGAUACCAGCCUGAGGACACGCAGCUUACUGGCAAGCCAUGUGCAGAUUCAGAUGCCUUUAUUCGGUGAAAAAUUCAAGAUAUACAUGGAUCUACAAAGCUGAACUUAGAUUUUCUAUCACCUCUUCAUUUCCGUCACGAAAAUGUCUACAAAGAUCAAACUACUAAUAUUGUAGCUUUGAAAAUAAACGGAGUCAUUGUAAAGGUCAA